rnacentral:rRNA from 1 species
GGGCGAGCCUGAUCAGCAUGCCGCGUGAGUGAUGAAGGCCUUAGGGUUGUAAAGCUCUUUUACCCGGGAAGAUAAUGACUGUACCGGGAGAAUAAGCCCCGGCUAACUCCGUGCCAGCAGCCGCGGUAAU